CAUUCACGGAGAGUUUGAUCCUGGCUCAGGACGAACGCUGGCGGCGUGCUUAACACAUGCAAGUCGAACGAUGAACCACUUCGGUGGGGAUUAGUGGCGAACGGGUGAGUAACACGUGGGCAAUCUACCCUUCACUCUGGGACAAGCCCUGGAAACGGGGUCUAAUACCGGAUACAACCGCUGACCGCAUGGUCGGGCGGUGGAAAGCUCCGGCGGUGAAGGAUGAGCCCGCGGCCUA
rnacentral:rRNA from 1 species